UUUCUAUGAUGAUUUCGUAUACCGCCCCAGUCGGAGAAAUUAUGUCGAUUGGAUUUUUUUUACUGAU
rnacentral:snoRNA from 1 species